ACAGCAGUAGCCGCGGGAAUACGUAGGUCCCGAGCGUUGUCCGGAUUUAUUGGGCGUAAAGCGGGCGCAGGCGGUUAGAUAAGUCUGAAGUUAAAGGCUGUGGCUUAACCAUAGUACGCUUUGGAAACUGUUUAACUUGAGUGCAAGAGGGGAGAGUGGAAUUCCAUGUGUAGCGGUGAAAUGCGUAGAUAUAUGGAGGAACACCGGUGGCGAAAGCGGCUCUCUGGCUUGUAACUGACGCUGAGGCGCGAAAGCGUGGGGAGCAAACCGGAUUAGAUACCCCCGUAGUCCCUGUCUCUUAUACC
rnacentral:rRNA from 1 species